rnacentral:rRNA from 1 species
GCGGAAGGAUCAUUCAUAAUCCAGUGUUUUUAUGCCACUUUAAAUCCAUAUCCACCUUGUGUGCAAUGUCAUCUCACUGGGGUUACGUUUGUAAAAUUUCGUGAUCCGUUUGGGAUUUAUAUCUACUCAGAACUUUAGUCAUUUUGUCUGAAACAUAUUAUGAAUAACUUAAUUCAAAAUACAACUUUCAACAACGGAUCUCUUGGCUCUCGCAUCGAUGAAGAACGCAGCGAAAUGCGAUACGUAAUGUGAAUUGCAGAAUUCAGUGAAUCAUCGAAUCUUUGAACGCAUAUUGCGCUCUCUGGUAUUCCGGAGAGCAUGCUUGUUUGAGUAUCAGUAAACACCUCAACUCCCUUUCUUCUUGAAAUGGAGCUGGACUUGAGUGAUCCCAACGCUUUAUUCAUAAAGUGGCGGGUUACUUGAAAUGCAGGUGCAGCUGGACUUUUCUCUGAGCUAUAAGCAUAUCUAUUUAGUCUGCCUCAAAAACAGAUUAUUACCUUUGCUGCAGCUAACAUAAAGGAGAUUAGUUCUUGUGCUGACUGAUGCAGGAUUCACAAAGACCGCUUCGGCUGUCUUUGUUAACUCGAU